rnacentral:tRNA from 1 species
UGCUUAUUAAUAGAAGAGUUUUGAAAACUUUUUUUGGUUUAACCGUUGGCAU